GCUUGUCUCAAAGAUUAAGCCAUGCAUGUCUAAGUAUAACUCUUUUACUUUGAAAACUGCGAACGGCUCAUUAUAUCAGUUAUAGUUUCUUUGAUAGUCCCUUACUACUUGGAUACCCGUAGUAAUUCUAGAGCUAAUACAUGCAUCAAGCAGUCUCACGGCUGUGUAUUUAUUAGAUACAAUCAGCCCCCUCGGGGUCAUGAUGAAUCAUAAUAACUGAACGAAGCGCAUGCUCACGCGGCGCUGUUUCAUUCAAGUUUCUGCCCUAUCAGCUUUCGAUGGUAGGGUAUUGGCCUACCAUGGCGUUAACGGGUAACGGAGAAUUAGGGUUCGAUUCCGGAGAGGGAGCCUGAGAGAUGGCUACCACAUCCAAGGAAGGCAGCAGG
rnacentral:rRNA from 1 species